GAUGAACGCUGGCGGCGUGCUUAACACAUGCAAGUCGAACGGAAAGGCCCAAGCUUGCUUGGGUACUCGAGUGGCGAACGGGUGAGUAACACGUGGGUGAUCUGCCCUGCACUUCGGGAUAAGCCUGGGAAACUGGGUCUAAUACCGGAUAGGACCACUUCUUGGAUGUUGUGGUGGAAAGUUUUUUCGGUGUGGGAUGAGCUCGCGGCCUAUCAGCUUGUUGGUGGGGUAAUGGCCUACCAAGGCGUCGACGGGUAGCCGGCCUGAGAGGGUGUACGGCCACAUUGGGACUGAGAUACGGCCCAGACUCCUACGGGAGGCAGCAGUAGGGAAGAUUGCACAAUGGGCGCAAGCCUGAUGCAGCGACGCCGCGUGGGGGAUGACGGCCUUCGGGUUGUAAACUCCUUUCGCUAGGGACGAAGCGUUUUGUGACGGUACCUGGAGAAGAAGCACCGGCUAACUACGUG
rnacentral:rRNA from 1 species